UUUCGCAAUGCCCGAAAGGGUGACGAAGCGACGCCGCGUGCGGGAAGAAGGCCUUCGGGUUGUAAACCGCUGUCGGGAGUUAAGAAAUGUAAGGAUGUUAAUAGCGUCUUUACUUGACUAAGGCUCCGGAGGAAGCCACGGCUAACUCUGUGCCAGCAGCCGCGGUAAUACAGAGGCGGCAAGCGUUGUUCGGAAUUAUUGGGCGUAAAGAGCACGUAGGCGGCUAUGUAAGUCGGUUGUGAAAGCCUUCCGCUCAACGGGAGAACGGCAUCCGAUACUGCAUGGCUUGAGUGCGGGAGGGGAGAGUGGAACUUCUGGUGGAGCGGUGAAAUGCGUAGAUAUCAGAAGGAACGCCGGCGGCGAAAGCGGCUCUCUGGCCCAUAACUGACGCUGAGUGUGCGAAAGCUAGGGGAGCAAACGGGAUUAGAUACCCCGGUAGUCCUAGCCGUAAACGAUGGGCACUAAGUAGAGGGGUUUUA
rnacentral:rRNA from 1 species